rnacentral:snoRNA from 1 species
GCGCCCCGGUGGCGGCACCUGCGGCGCGGGUGCAGACACGCCGUUGCCCCGCAGGCCGUAGCGCCUCUCAGGGUUGCAGACUGACGCCCUGCGUGCCACAUGCCUCCUUUUGUCCGAGAGGAAGACUACAAGGGAAAGCGGAGGCAGGCCGGCCGGCCAGGCGACAGGC